CAUCAUCGGCCAUCCGACCAACUGAACAAGUCACCAAAGCAGUGAAUUGAAGUGUUUAGUCCACAGUUGGACGAACACUCUUCUGAUCAGCAAGAUGAAGCUCAUUCUAGCUUUCUCCAUCACUUUCACCCUGGUCAGCACAGUGGACAUGCUACAGUGUUUCUCGUGUGACGAUGCAAGAUGUACAAAAUUCAAGUUGAUGGAGUGUGGUGAAGGGAAUGUGUGCUCAACGUCCACAUAUUUUCAGAAACCCCCAAGGAUUUAUUGGGGGGGACAAAUCACAUUUUUCCCAGGACGGGGGGGUCCCCAAUACUAACAUGGUGUUAAAGGGUUGUCGAGAUCAAGUCAACGAUUUCAGAGCUUGUCCCAAACUAGACCACAUAUACAAGAUCUCACUAAACAUGGGUUACGUUCGUGCUGCUACUACUUUUCUCUGCUGCAACACCACAGGAUGUAAUAAUGAAACCCUUUCUGCCCCCAGUGACAAACCAAACGGACUACAUUGCUUCACCUGUAAAAGUGAGGACGACACUGUAUGCGACCAAAAGGUUAUAGAAUGUGUUGGCAUUGAAGACCGCUGCUUCAUCGAAACCGAGGGUAUAAAUUCCACUCUUCGGGGAUGCGUGUCCAGUAAUUACUGUGACAGACUAUCUGCCAACUCUACCUGUUGUAAAGGAUGUCGGUGUAACAGAGCUAGUGGUAUGGGGGGCCUGUCUCUCUCCCUCCUGCUGGCUCUUCCAGUCAUACUACUGCUGUUCUAGAAGACUUCCUGAAGUCAGACAAGCCACAAGGUUUUAAAACAGUGACAGAGUUAGGGUUGAGUACAUGACAACACCAGACAUAUUUCAUAUAUCUAGUUUCUUUUUUCUUUUUACUAGGUGUUCGUAAAACACUAUGUGCAGUAGCCUAAUUGUGCACCUAUCUUUUUUCAUCCGUUUUUAUAAAUCAGUUUAAUGGACUAUGUAUCAUGAUUACACUAGCUGACUGUGGUUUGUAACGUUUUGACAAAAUAUGAAUGUAAACAUGAUGAUUGUUUUGUUUCUGUCACGGCCACAGCCGUGCCCCCGUUUUUGGUUUUGGCCUGCCCUAAGUGCUUCCGUGUCUGUCAUUGUCUUUACCUGGGUCUCGUUCAGUGGUUUCAGUACUCGUUAGUCUUAUCAUGUCCACCUGUGUCUUGUUUGGUUCUGUGUAUUAAGGUUCCUGUUUUGUGUCCAGUCUUUGGCUGUGUCUAC